rnacentral:rRNA from 1 species
ACGCUGGCGGCAGGCCUAACACAUGCAAGUCGAGCGGAAACGACACUAACAAUCCUUCGGGUGCGUUAAUGGGCGUCGAGCGGCGGACGGGUGAGUAAUGCCUAGGAAAUUGCCUUGAUGUGGGGGAUAACCAUUGGAAACGAUGGCUAAUACCGCAUAAUGCCUACGGGCCAAAGAGGGGGAUCUUCGGGCCUCUCGCGUCAAGAUAUGCCUAGGUGGGAUUAGCUAGUUGGUGAGGUAAUGGCUCACCAAGGCGACGAUCCCUAGCUGGUCUGAGAGGAUGAUCAGCCACACUGGAACUGAGACACGGUCCAGACUCCUACGGGAGGCAGCAGUGGGGAAUAUUGCACAAUGGGCGAAAGCCUGAUGCAGCCAUGCCGCGUGUAUGAAGAAGGCCUUCGGGUUGUAAAGUACUUUCAGUUGUGAGGAAGGGUGURWMGUUAAUAGCKKYRYMUCUUGACGUUAGCAACAGAAGAAGCACCGGCUAACUCCGUGCCAGCAGCCGCGGUAAUACGGAGGGUGCGAGCGUUAAUCGGAAUUACUGGGCGUAAAGCGCAUGCAGGUGGUUCAUUAAGUCAGAUGUGAAAGCCCGGGGCUCAACCUCGGAACUGCAUUUGAAACUGGUGAACUAGAGUGCUGUAGAGGGGGGUAGAAUUUCAGGUGUAGCGGUGAAAUGCGUAGAGAUCUGAAGGAAUACCAGUGGCGAAGGCGGCCCCCUGGACA